UGGGGAUGUGCUCUCAACCACAGUACAUGCCCUUGACCUGAAUCAAACCUGGGACCCUUCAGUCCGCAGGCCGAUGCUCUAUCCACUGAGCCAAACUGGUUAGGGCAAGCAGUCACUAUUAAUGGCAUGCAGACUGCUGAUACCUACCCAGCAGCCACUGAGCAUUUGCUCAUUACUGGUAAAUUCUGGGUUUCUGAGGUUAAGCUCCCUACAUUCACACCAGUUGGCACUUUACCAUUUAGCAGUAUGUCUACCGUGUUAAUGUAGGUUGAAGGGAGGAUUAUAUGUAUUGAAACAAUCUGCAUGCCCAGGCAUCAGAUUAGACACUAUCCCUGUCGCACUUAGAUUUGUAGACUUAAAAGCAGGAUUCAGAGAUUGUGUGACUUGCCUGUGGCCAAGUAGAGCUAACACAAAUCUAUUGUAGUUCUGUGAACUCCACAGACAUAAAUUUUUUCACAGUGCCAUGAGCAGUGGCUGUUAAACCUUGAUUUUAGAUUUUAUCUUUUAUGGUUCAGAGGUUUUUUAUCUUUUAUAGUUAACAAAUAUGAAAAAUAUUAAAUUCUCUCAUUAAAAGUUUUUAUAGUACAGAAUAUAAAGUGGAAAAGGACAUGCUUUCUUAUAGUCUUACUCGGUCUGUUACUCUUCCAGACUUAGGCAUAUACAAGUUUAAGCAAAAAUGUGUUAAUAGUCGACACUUGUGGUUCCUAUAAAGGCACUGUUUUGAAGUGCUUUACCGUGGAUUAACUCUUAAUCCUCACAGCAACCAUCUGAGGUAGGUACACAUCCCCAUUCUACAUGUACUGCUCUGACGUUUGUCUCCCCUCCCCAAUUUGAUAUAGACAUUGUUUUUCAUGGCUACAAAUACUGUUGCAUUGCAUGAAUAUACUGUUAUUUAUUUAACCAACCCCUGGAUAGUUUUUGUUCUUUUUUUAAAUUAUUAUAGAAAAGGUAUGGUUAAAGAUACUUGUACAUAUAUUUUGCUGCUUGUGUGGGUAUUUCUGUAGGAUAAAUACAUGUGGGGUUUUUUGGUCAGAGAAUGUGCACAUUCAGCAUUUUAAGAGAUGCCACCUAAAAGAUUACAAAUUUCUAACUCCCUCAAUAGUAAGAGUGCCUAUGGGCUUGCCUACACUCGCACCAAUCUGAUAGACAAAAUUUAUUUCCUUCCUUUGAUAGUUAAUGAAGAACAUUUCUUAUGUUUAUUGGCCAUUUGCAUUUCCUGUUAUGAAUUGUGUUUGCCCAUUUUUCUUUUUUUUAAAUUAUGAAAGUAUAAAUGACUACUAGCUCAAUGUGUAAAGCAUAAAUGAUACAGGUAUAAGAACAAAGAGCCUUUUCUCCAGCACCUCAAUCACAUUCCACUUCCCAGAGUUUAGUAUAUAUCUGUCUAGUCCCCUUUCCAUUCAUCUCCAUUUGAAUGUACAUAAGCAUAUAAAGCUAUUUUUACAUAAACAGGAUCAUAUAUGUACUGUUAUACAGCUUGCCUUUUUUUUUGGUCUAAAAAACCUAUUCCUGAGGUCUUUAAAUUUCUUUAAUGAUUGACUAGGAUUCAAUAUUCUGAAAAUACCAAGGUUGAAGGUAUUUUUUCCUCCUGCUGUUACAUUGCCAAAGUAAAACUUUUCUCAUAUGUCUUUGUGCAUGUGUGUGAAUAUUCCUUUAGGAUGGAGCUGUGUACGGUGGGGUAUUACAUCCGCAGGUGUGCUCCCUGAUAGCUCACCUUAGCCUUCCUGAAGGCCUUCCUGACUUUAUAUUUUACCACCUGUAGGGAAAGUGUUCAUUUUUACAUAGGCCUUACCUACCCUUGGUACUUUUAUCUGAUGAGAAAAAAAAAAAAAAAAUCCUAAUUACAUUUCCCUGAUGAAUGGUAAGGUCAUGUUUAGUGGCCAUUUAUAGUUUCACCGUGGAUUAUUUGUUCACAUCCUCUAUAUCAGCUUUCCAGUUGGGCUACAUGUGGAUGUUUGUCGUUUCUGUUUGUACAGCAUCUCUUUUCCCAUCUUCUGUAACAGAGCCCUUAUUUAUUGCGGGGAACCCAUUCCCUAUGGCUUAGCUGAAUACAUAACCAGGUCUGGCCUCCCUGAGUUCUGCAGCUCCUUGACAGCAGUGAUGAAAGCACAGGCAUGUAACUCAGGCCAGGCCACAGAGAGCCCUCAGCAAACUGCGGAAACUAUUGGCAACACGGCUCAUGGAGAUCCAGGAACUAAGGACUGUGUGUGUACCAUGUGGGGAGAGUUUGAGGAGAAGCUCAGAGGCUAGCAGAAAGGACAGAGGACUGAGUUCUGAUGUCAUUUUUCUGGAGGCCCUUGAUCCAGCUGUGCCUAAAGCCUGCCCUACCUCUGGACUUUAACGUUUUGUGAGCCAAUAAAGUCCCUUUCUUGUUUAAGAUAAUUGAAUUGGGUUUCUGUCCUGAUUAAUAUAGGUUAUUUGUAUUUUCUUAUUGAUUUGUAGAAACCUCUGUAAUUUUAAAUUCUAGACUUACACUUUAUGCACUAUAUAGGUUAAUAAAAUUAGCAUGGACUUCCAUGAUUUGGCCUUUGUCAA